CCUACGGGUGGCAGCAGUGGGGAAUCUUCCGCAAUGGGCGAAAGCCUGACGGAGCAACGCCGCGUGAGUGAUGACGGCCUUCGGGUUGUAAAACUCUGUGAUCCGGGACGAAAAGGCAGAGUGCGAAGAACAAACUGCAUUGACGGUACCGGAAAAGCAAGCCACGGCUAACUACGUGCCAGCAGCCGCGGUAAUACGUAGGUGGCAAGCGUUGUCCGGAAUUAUUGGGCGUAAAGCGCGCGCAGGCGGCUUCCCAAGUCCCUCUUAAAAGUGCGGGGCUUAACCCCGUGAUGGGAAGGAAACUGGGAAGCUGGAGUAUCGGAGAGGAAAGUGGAAUUCCUAGUGUAGCGGUGAAAUGCGUAGAGAUUAGGAAGAACACCGGUGGCGAAGGCGACUUUCUGGACGAAAACUGACGCUGAGGCGCGAAAGCGUGGGGAGCAAACAGGAUUAGAUACCCCAGUAGUC
rnacentral:rRNA from 1 species